UGCGUAGGUGGCGCCGUAAGUCAGGUGUGAAAUUUCGGAGCUUAACUCCGAAACUGCAUUUGAUACUGCGGUGCUUGAGGACUGGAGAGGAGACUGGAAUUCACGGUGUAGCAGUGAAAUGCGUAGAUAUCGUGAGGAAGACCAGUGGCGAAGGCGGGCCUCUGGACAGUUCCUGACACUGAGGCACAAGGGCCAGGGGGAAGGCAAACG
rnacentral:rRNA from 1 species